GAUGAACGCUGGCGGCGUGCCUAAUACAUGCAAGUCGAGCGAACAGACGAGGAGCUUGCUCCUCUGACGUUAGCGGCGGACGGGUGAGUAACACGUGGAUAACCUACCUAUAAGACUGGGAUAACUUCGGGAAACCGGAGCUAAUACCGGAUAAUAUAUUGAACCGCAUGGUUCAAUAGUGAAAGACGGUUUUGCUGUCACUUAUAGCUGGAUCCGCGUCGCAUUAGCUAGUUGGUAAGGUAACGGCUUACCAAGGCAACGAUGCGUAGCCGACCUGAGAGGGUGAGUGGCCACACUGGAACUGAGACCCGGUCCAGACUCCUACGGGAGGCAGCAGUAGGGAAUCUUCCGCAAUGGGCGAAAGCUUGACGGAGCAACGCCGCGUGAGUGAUGAAGGUCUUCGGAUCGUAAAACUCUGUUAUUAGGGAAGAACAAAUGUGUAAGUAACUAUGCACGUCUUGACGGUACCUAAUCAGAAAGCCACGGCUAACUACGUG
rnacentral:rRNA from 1 species